rnacentral:rRNA from 1 species
UCGCAGGGCGGCAGCCUACACAUGCAGUCGAGCGGUAACAGGAGAAAGCUUGCUUUCUUGCUGACGAGCGGCGGACGGGUGAGUAAUGUAUGGGGAUCUGCCCGAUAGAGGGGGAUAACUACUGGAAACGGUGGCUAAUACCGCAUAAUGUCUACGGACCAAAGCAGGGGCUCUUCGGACCUUGCACUAUCGGAUGAACCCCUAUGGGAUUAGCUAGUAGGUGGGGUAAACUACUAUCUCUAGCUGCGAUGACAAGCUGAUCCACCACACUGGUACUGAGACUCUGGCCAAACUCCUACGGAAACCAACUCUCGAGAAUAUUGCACAAUGGGCCUAUGCCUGAUGCACCCCUGCCGCGUGUAUGAACAAUGCCUUAAGGUUGUAAAAACACUUUCAUGGGGGAGUAAGGUGAUAAAGGUC